rnacentral:rRNA from 1 species
UGGGGAAUUUUGGACAAUGGGCGAAAGCCUGAUCCAGCAAUGCCGCGUGUGUGAAGAAGGCCUUCGGGUUGUAAAGCACUUUUGUCCGGAAAGAAAUCCUUGGCUCUAAUACAGUCGGGGGAUGACGGUACCGGAAGAAUAAGCACCGGCUAACUACGUGCCAGCAGCCGCGGUAAUACGUAGGGUGCAAGCGUUAAUCGGAAUUACUGGGCGUAAAGCGUGCGCAGGCGGUUUGCUAAGACCGAUGUGAAAUCCCCGGGCUCAACCUGGGAACUGCAUUGGUGACUGGCAGGCUAGAGUAUGGCAGAGGGGGUAGAAUUCCACGUGUAGCAGUGAAAUGCGUAGAGAUGUGGAGGAAUACCGAUGGCGAAGGCAGCCCCCUGGGCCAAUACUGACGCUCAUGCACGAAAGCGUGGGAGCAAACAGGAUUAGAUACCCUGGUAGUCCACGCCCUAAACGAUGUCAACUAGUUGUUGGGGAUUCAUUUCCUUAGUAACGUAGCUAACGCGUGAAGUUGACCGCCUGGGGAGUACGGUCGCAAGAUUAAAACUUAAAUGAAUUGACGGGGUCAUAGCUGUUUCCU